rnacentral:lncRNA from 1 species
AUGAAACUCUCAAAGCAGUUUGUCAUUCUUAGUAUUCUCUGAAGCUGGACAUGUGAAUGCUUAAGACGAUGGCCCCAGGAGCAGCCUCUCCAAUGAUUUUAAAAGUCACUGAUGAAAUCAAUGUGUCAUUGAAAGGGGAUGGAUGUUAAUUUCAGCUAUGUUGCCCUCUGAAUGUCUCUU